rnacentral:lncRNA from 1 species
UUUCUCUUGGCCGAACCUCCUCUCAAGAGAAAGGAGAGAGCAAACUCUAUUUACAACCCAAAAACCUUGCUUGAUAUUUGAGUUUUAUCCCAACCUUCCAAAACAAUCCAUAAAAAAACUGAUUUUGAAGUAGGAGGAGGAGCUUUGGUGGAGAGUUUUUGGCGGAAGAAACUUUUGGUAGAGUACUUGGAAAAGAAAGCUCUUGAGUUGCUUGUUAUCUUGGGGUUUUGAGGUAAAAUUUCUAGAAAACAUCUCUUUUUACUUGACUCUUGAGAUUCAUUCAAGAUAAGGUAUGAUUAAGGCUAAAAGAAGCAUGGUUAUGAAAGAUUUUAUGGUUUUGGCUAGGGUAGCAUGUAGUUUCCAGCUUUAAUGUUCAAUUUCAAGCCUUGAUAUGCAUUUUCCAACCAUGAGAUGAACUUGGUAGUUUUGAUUUGAGAUGGUUUAACUUUGAUGUGAACUUUUAAGCUUUGGUAUAUGGUUUUCUAGCUUUGGUUGAAAUUUCCAGUUUUAGUUCUAGAAUUCCAGCUUUAGUAGAGAAAGUUCCAGCAAUGAUAGUGAUGAAUCUGCCCUGUUUUGACCUGCUUAGUUCGUCUAUGUUAGAGGUCGAAUUAGGCUUAGGUCAAAACAUGACAGUUGUAGGAAAUGGUAUUUUAUAACUGCCUGUAAAAUUUCAGCUCGAUCUGAGUACUGUAUCAUGUGAAAUGACUGAAAUACCCCUGACUGCCAAAAGCUUCAUUUUGCGGACAGUUUUGUGAUUUCACACUUUUAGCUUCGUUUUUCACUUUGAUCCGUAUCAAAUCAACAUUUGGUCAAAACAUGAAAAUUUUACCCCUAUGUUUCAGUUUUCCAACGCAUCUGAAAAUGCUUCAAUUGGAAUUUUGUAGUUGAGUUAUUGUCAUUCAAAUCCAGUGCUGAUAACCAGACUGACAUUUAAAUUCUGGUUCUGUAAUCUGCAAAUUCGACCAAGAUCAAAUAUGAAUUGGGUUGACUUGUCUCGAUGAAAGUUGUAACCCUUUGUCUUAGCUUCGAAACAGUAUAAAGUAUACCCCAAUCCGAUAAAUGUAACUCUAGUUGUGAUCAAAAUGUUAUAAGAUGUCUAAUCUGCCAUUUAGUCUUUUGCAUUCAAAACUUGAUUUCCGAUUGGAUUAUUAUACUUGUGUUGUAUGUGGAUGAUUUGAGCCUAUUGAACGGCUAUUGUGAUGAGAUUAAUUGUAUGUGUUUUGGGGCUGAAUUGAGAAAAGAAUAACGAAGUCAUAAAUGGCUGGAAAAUAGGUAAACACAAAGGGCGUGCUGUCCAAAUUUGCACUCGAUGGCUAGGUAGAUGUACUCGUGACUUGAGUAAGAGUUGAGGAUGAAACUAAUUUGAAUCAUCUAAGGUAUUCAAGUCUUAUUUCUUAGAGGUAUAUAAGUUAGAAUCUGGCCAAAACUUGUACCCUUGGAAAAAUGAAAUUUACAACUAUUAGAAAUACGUUUUCUUCGUUUCUUCGACUCAAAUGGAGAUUUCAAAGUUUUACGAGCGAACAUAAGUUUUACAAAUAUUUUACUCAUGUCCUUUGGUUUAAAUGUACUCUUUUCACUUCCAAAACUAUACUUAUACUUUGUACUAGUAGUUAUUUGGAUUUUCUUUGGUUCACCUAAACUUUGGAUGGUUUAGCUGUAAUAUUUUCUCUUGGUUAUUAAUAGGGUUCCUUGGUAAUUGAGGGUAUUAUCCGGAAG